GGGCCCGUAGUGUAGCCCGGUUUAACACGCCUGCCUGUCACGCAGGAGAUCGAGGGUUCAAAUCCCUUCGGGCCCG
rnacentral:tRNA from 1 species